rnacentral:rRNA from 1 species
AAACUUUCAACAACGGGUCUCUUGGUUCUGGCAUCGAUGAAGAACGCAGCGAAAUGCGAUAAGUAAUGUGAAUUGCAGAAUUCAGUGAAUCAUCGAAUCUUUGAACGCACAUUGCGCCCGCCAGUAUUCUGGCGGGCAUGCCUGUCCGAGCGUCAUUU